rnacentral:lncRNA from 1 species
GCUGAUGAAACAGAUCAAGAUUAUAGGAUGAAGACAAUAGCACUAGACACUAAUACUUGUUAUACAAAAUAAACAUAGUUGCUUCCUUCAUACUUGGAAUAUAAAGUUGAAGAUUAAUCAUACUAAUAUUACAACCGUUAAACAGAAACCAAAGGUAAUGUAGUAGAGUAGGUAUGCAAAAAGAUAAGGAAAUGCAACCGUUCUCAGUCAACCUACGACUUAUUCAGCAAUAGCCAUGCUUUUUUCUAGACAGGUACGCUUAUUAUGACUAGGGGUUGAGCAAAUUAUGCACGUCUUUGGUGUAACGUCUGGUGCACUAUGCUGAGAUUGGGAUACAUUGCCCUCUUCAUGAAGGUCUAUAAGUGGUAGCCCAUCGAAUAAGAUAAUUAUCCGACCAGACUUUCUAACAUCCACCAUGGCCUUCACAUUUGUGUCAUUUGUAAUUCAAUGAAGCCCCGUGACUGAGCAAGCUCCCACAUGGCAAAAACCAAUAUGGCGAGAGAUGUGUAGUGCAAUUUCUCAAAGGCCUACUGAAGUAGAUAGUAGUAUCCUGGUUUUUCGUAAUUUAGAUGCCCUACAACCCGAUUUCCUCUCCAAAAUCUGGUCUCCAAAUCGUAGUUCAUAAUAAUCUUUGUUAUCCAUGGAAUAUUGGCUAGGUAAUUGGAUCCGCAUAUAACAGAUUUAGCACAUAAGUGAAAUCGAGGAAUAAAAGCACAAUCCAGCAACAACAAAUUGUUAAUUGAACCGAAACAGGCAUGAAAAAUCCGUAACACACAUAAAUUCCCGAACAUAAAAAAUCAUAACCUUUGAAUUAGGGCCAAUAUCUAAGAUUGAAGAAAGGAGAAAUGCGUAUAUGACUUGAAAGGUGAUUUAUGGAGAUUAAGGGUAAUCGAUAAAGGUAUUGAGGAACAAAAAACCAGAAACCAGC